GGAAUUAGAACGCACAGCCUUUUCUCAACUAGAGGAGAAUAAUAACACAAUCCAAGAGUCAUCUGAACAACAACCAUUACAAAUUAUGUAUUUUGUAUUUCCAGCAUUAGUUAGAAACCCUGCUGCAUUUGCUGAAUUAAAUGAAAUGCCAAAUCCUGCUGAUCUGUAAUUUUAAAUAUUGUUGCGCUUGUAGAUUUUUGCCUCCUUUUGAUUGGAAUGAUUCGGGCUUAAAUUGAUUUUUUUAUCUUAAAUAAUUUAUCAAAUUCAAUAUUUGUUA